rnacentral:lncRNA from 1 species
CUAUGGGGUCUCAGGGUGCCCCAUAUGGGGGCUGUGGGGUUUAAAGGUGGGCUAUGGGAUCUGGGGGUGCCCAUAUGGGGGCUGUGGGGUCACAGGGUGCCCAUACGGGGACGGUGGGGUCUCGGUUCGCCCCAUAGAUGUGGGGCUCCCCAUAAGUGUGGGUCGCUGCCCCCCAGGUGUGGUGGAGCCGGUGGAGGUGACGGAUAACGGGGACGGGACCAGGAGCGUCAGCUACGUCCCAUCCCGAGAGGGGCCCUACAGCAUCUCCGUGCGCUAUGGGGACCAGGACGUGCCCCGAAGGUGUGGGGCGGGAGUGGGGUGGUUAUGGGGUGGUUAUGGGGUGCUAUAGGGCAGCUAUGGGAUGGUUAUGGGGUGGUUAUGGGGUGCUAUAGGGCAGCUAUGGGGCGGUUAUGGGGCCCUACAGCAUCUCCGUGCGCUAUGGGGACCAGGAUGUGCCCCGAAGGUGUGGGGCGGGAGUGGGGUGGUUAUGGGGUGGUUAUGGGGUGCUAUAGGGCAGCUAUAGGGUGUCUGUGGGGCACUAUAAGGCAGCUAUGGGAUAUGUAUGGGGCAGCCAUGGGGCAGCUAUGGGAUAUCUAUGGGGCAGCUGUGGGGCAGCCAUGGGGCAGCUAUGGCAUAUCUAUGGGGCAGCUAUGGGGCAGCCAUGGGGCAGAGAUGACUCCAUUGGGUGCAGUAGGGCACUGCAGGCCACUGGGGGGCGCUGUGGAGCAGCAGUGCGGCUGUUAUAGGGAACCUAUGGGGCCGCUAUGGGGCAGCUGUGGGGUAUCUAUGGGGCAGCUAUAGGGCAGCCAUGGAGCAGCCAUGGGGCAGCUAUGGGGCAGCUGUGGGGUAUCUAUGGGGCAGCUGUGGGGCAGGCAAAGUGCAGAUUAAGGGCAGGUAAAUGGCAGCUAUUGGACACUAGGGGGCGCUGUGGAGCAGCAGUGCGGCUGUUAUAGGGAACCUAUGGGGCAGCCAUGGGGCAGCUAUGGGGCAGCUGUGGGAUAUCUAUGGAGCACUAUGGGGUACCUAUGGGGCAGCCGUG